rnacentral:rRNA from 1 species
UGUGUAGGCGGUGGCUUAAGUUUGGUGUGAAAUCCCCAGGCUCAACUUGGGAACUGCAUCCGAUACUGGAUGGCUUGAAUUCGGGAGAGGGAUGCAGAAUUCCAGGUGUAGCGGUGAAAUGCGUAGAUAUCUGGAGGAAUACCGGUGGCGAAGGCGGCAUCCUGGACCGACAUUGACGCUGAACGGCGAAAGCUAGGGGAGCAAACG